rnacentral:lncRNA from 1 species
CACAUAAACAGGAAGCUGCCCUUUUCCAUGGUAAGUUUCACAAAGAAAAAGGAAGAGAUUGGCACCAGAUUGUUCUCCAUGAAGUGCAGCAUUUUACAUGCAUUUUAGUUGGGGUUUUUUUUUUUUUUUUCCGCACAGGAGUCAGUCAUGGGAGUAUAAAAGCUGGAGGACUUGUAUGGGGAUACCUUUGUUUCUGGUUGCCUGAGGAUCUGUACAUUAUAGCACCCGUGAUGCUGCUGAUGGAGACAAAGACACAUACACUUUACAACACAGUAUAUAAAACUGUACUCAUAACGAAAUGUAGAGCAUUGGGAAUGCAGUCUACCCCAGUGUCACGUCAGGCCGAGAGAACCGGGACAGAAGCAUAUUCUGCAAUAGACAGAAAGAAGGUAUUGCCGUCCAUCCAUCGGUCCAGCGCAGGGCGGUGGCGGUCCAGAGUCUGUCCUGGAAGCCCGGGGCGUGAGGCGGGACACCCACCGGACAGGACACCAGACGACUCCAGAGCAAUGGUCACAGCAAUGUGGAGCCCAUCCCAGAAUCACUGGAUGCCAAGCUGGGAGGGGUGCGCUCUGGAUGAGACACCAGUCCAUCUCAAGGUAGCCAUACAUACACCCACUGUUACACAGUUUGACAUUAUGGGCAAUUUAGAGUCACCGACUAACCUGUCUUUUUAGUCUGUGGGAGGAAACCAGAGCACUCAGAGGAAACCCAUACAAACAUUAACCACAAAACUUCGGGAGAACACGAAAAUUGAGCUGGAUUCCGACCUACGUCCAAACGCAGGUGCUGUGAGGCACCAGUGUUAGCUACUGCGGCACCAAAGUACAGGUUUGGACUUGAUUUAAUUGGUCUGAAGGUGGGUCAACCUACUAAAUUCUCCAUUUUUAUAUUUCUGUCUCUGCAUUCCCAAGGUAACUCAAAGAUUAAUUAAUGUCAACUUUGAGACUGACUUCAGUUUGCUGCAGUAUUUAUUAAUUGCACUUUUGCAGAAAUGUUUAUUGUGCCUUUUUUGUGCCAUGAGAAACAUACAGUACUGACUUUUUUCACUAAGGUAUGAAAUUCCAAGUUUAGUGGAAAUUCAUUACUCAUUUCAAUGGAAAGUGGUAAAUGAGAGAAACUAAGAAAUUCUUAUAUGUUUAUAUAUAUGUGUGUGUAUCAUCAUAAACAGUGUACACUAAUUACUUCACUGAACUGAAGAAAAAUGUAGACCAACGAAAGACUAAAGAGUAGUUUACAAGCGGACUUCUGUCAUACUUGAUGGAAUCUGUGCACCAUGGGGAUUUGCGGCUGUACACGCCCAUGGUGACACUGCUUCACUGAGCUCUGAAAUCAGAGGCAGGUGCGCUAGUAACGGAUUUCCCUUUUUCCACGCGAUGCUCAGGGAUGAUGGACUGUUGUUGGAGUCAAACGCCUUCAUGCUUGCUGAGACCGUGUGGGCGAAGUCACUUGGUGGAGCCCGGCUGUGUCCUUGUCCCAUUGGAGUCAGUCAACAUCGCUGCCUUUCACUGUGUGAAUGGCUUCAGUGUUACACUUUUGGCAUUAUUGCUAGAAGGCACCUGGAAGGAAAUUCUAAGACUUGCUUCCAGUAAAACAUUUGAAUUUUAGAUUAUUUCUGACAAGCAAUAAUUACCUGUUAUGGUUGUUAUUUAGUCUUUUAUGUAAAUGUAUAAUUUA